GUGUUACUACGGUAACACACAUACUAAAAUUGGAACGAUACAGAGAAGGUUAGCAUGGACCCCUGAAGCAAGGAUGACACGCAAAAUCGUGAAGCGUUUCCAAAUUUU